CCUACGGGAGGCCGCAGUGGGGAAUAUUGGGCAAUGGGCGCAAGCCUGACCCAGCAACGCCGCGUGCAGGAAGAAGGCUUUCGGGUUGUAAACUUCUUUUCUCAGGGACGAAGCAAGUGACGGUACCUGAGGAAUAAGCCACGGCUAACUACGUGCCAGCAGCCGCGGUAAUACGGAGGUGGCAAGCGUUAUCCGGAUUUACUGGGUGUAAAGGGCGUGUAGGCGGGAAAGCAAGUCAGAUGUGAAACCCAUGGGCUCAACCUGUGGCCUGCAUUUGAAACUGUUUUUCUUGAGUACUGGAGAGGCAGACGGAAGUCCUAGUGUAGCGGUGAAAUGCGGAGAUAUUAGGAGGAACACCAGUGGCGAAGGCGGUCUGCUGGACAGCAACUGACGCUGAGGCGCGAAAGCGUGGGGAGCAAACAGGAUUAGAUACCCCUGUAGUC
rnacentral:rRNA from 1 species